rnacentral:rRNA from 1 species
GACGAACGCUGGCGGCGUGCUUAACACAUGCAAGUCGAACGGGAUCCAAAGGCUUUUUGUUUUUGGUGAGAGUGGCGAACGGGUGAGUAACACGUGAGUAACCUGCCCCCUUCUUUUGGAUAACCGCAUGAAAGUGUGGCUAAUACAGGAUAUUCCAGGCUGGUCGCAUGAUUGGUUUGGGAAAUGGUUUGGUCUGGUGGGGGAUGGGCUCGCGGCCUAUCAGCUUGUUGGUGGGGUGAUGGCCUACCAAGGCGGGGACGGGUGGCCGGCCUGGGAGGGGGGCCGGGCACACUGGGACUGAGAUACGGCCCAGACUCCUACGGGAGGCAGCAGUGGGGGAUUUUGCACAAUGGGCGCAAGCCUGAUGCAGCGACGCCGCGUGAGGGAUGAAGGCCUUCGGGUUGUAAACCUCUUUCGCUGGGUUGAAAGGCCAUGCUUUGGGUGUGGUUGAUUUGAACUGGUAAAGAAGUACCGGCUAACUACGUG